rnacentral:lncRNA from 1 species
CUUCGUUCUUAUCAUCAUUGUAAUCAUUAAUGUACUGUACUGUGACCAUUAGGCUGCCUCCAGUACAUAUCAACUGGGAUCGACCCAUGAUCGGCUUAUGCCCCUGGGAUACCACCCAUAAACACAUAAAUAGGGAUUGACCCAUGAUAGGCUUAUGCCCCUGGGAUACCACCCAUAAACACAUAAAUAGGGAUUGACCCAUGAUAGGCUUAUGCCCCUGGGAUACCACCCGAUAAGAGAGAACUUCCAUCACUUAGUUCAAUUAAUCUUUGAGAUUGUUAUUUCGGUCGCCACCGCAUUUUUGAUACUUU